AGCAUUUUUCCAACUAUUGUCUUUGUACACAGUUAACAUUCAAUGAUUGUGAGAAAAUUUCCAGAGAAGAGAAUGAUGAGAAUAGAUGCAGAAGAGAACUGUCCCAAAUGGGGUUAGAGCUUUAGCAAGACACCGUCUACCCAGGGUCAAAGAGAAAAAGGAAUAAGUCCUGAAACAGCUGUGCAAGUAGACAUAUUCUCCUUUGUUGCAAUGCAGCUGUCUUAAGGUAAAUGCCACAGCAUCACCCUUUCUCCUUUCCUUUUCCUUCAGAUUCCUCAAGGAAAUUUGUCUGUACACCAUUCCCCACACCCCUAUUGACAUUUGAUUAUGCCAACAUAUUUCUGGGAGCUAAAAUUAGUCAGUAGAAGUCCUCCCAGAGUAGGAUCUUCAAAUGCCAAUGGAGUCACUUCCCAUAUUCCUCUGUGCUGUUUUCUUUCUCAGUGGAAACAGUAAGGACCUGCUGUAAUCAAGAAUAUUGAUUCUGGUGAUGAAAACAUUUUUUAUAAGCCUCAAAAUCACAUUCUCACACAGGGCAAACAGAACAAGACCCUCAUCUGAUUGCAGUCAUUGAAGUUCACUGGCAAGACAGAAUUAAGGACAAGUGGUGAUGGACUGGAUGACCUCGGCAUCUUCAAUGUCUUACCAAGCUCUAAGCCUUCCUUGGAAGGAUCUCUGUAGGUAUAAUCCCUUGAUCCACAUAUAUGGCAAGUAGAGUCAAUUCUCAUUACUGCAGGAUUAUAUUAUCUAGGCCAUCAUUGAUAGGUACUUCUACAAAGUAAUCUGGGAAAAUCUCCAGGUCAGUAGACAAAGUUUUCCAGAUGGUGAGUUUGUAUGUGUGGAGGAGAGGGGGCAAUAAUUCUCCAUCUUCCCUCCUGUAAAAUGCAAAGUUGGAUGAUUUUCCCAAUCAGUAUCUUUUUUUCCCUCCAGCUACUUGAACUUUGGUCAGAGCUCAGUAGCAUCUCCACUAGAGGGUGCUUAGGGCCAGGAAGGAUGAAACUCUUAUCAGUCCAUUUGGAUCCUUCCUUAGCAAGAUUGAUGAGAAAUCUGGUAGAGGAAGUGAUUGGAGCUAUUGAAUUUGAGGACCCCUUAUCUUUUCUAUCCUUAUUUCCUUAGUUGUCAUAGUAUGAUUUUGUAGAAAUGUCUGGACUAUCUUCUCUCCAUCUCUCUCAGAUAAAUAUCCAUACUUUAAGGCCCAGCUUGAAGAUACCUCUGAACCAUCCUUUAUCUGAUAUCUUAUUGCCACAAGUCAAUAGUAUCUCCUUAAACAAGUUUGCUCUUUAAAACUUUGCUUAUAUUUUUCUCAUCAUAUUUGAUUUUUAAAAAUCAAUUCAUUUUAUAGAUUUUAAAGUUGGAGCAGGCUUUAGAAGAUAAUCUAGUCUAUUUACAGAAGUGGAAAUUAAACCCUGGAAAAGAGAAGGGACUUAAGAAAUAACAAAGGACAGGAACUGGAGCAGCUCUUAAUCCCAUCUAUUUUGGCUUGAAAUCUAGCCCUGCUUCCACUGCACCAUGCUACCUCUCAAUCUAAUAAACAUUGACUAGUCAUCUCCUGGUUCAAGAUGUUUUUAUUUGUGUGUUUUUUCAUUGAUAUACUGGAAGCAGCUCAAACCGACUCAUCAGAGCCUGUUGUUAAAUUUUCAGGGAUAGCAUUUACAACUCAGAAACUGACAAAUACUACAAAUCAGGGUUUGUGUUAUUGUUUGAUUAAUUGUCUAGACUUCAGAAAGUGGGAUCACAUGCUAAUAAUGCAGAUCAAAUUGAAAAGUGGUGAUUUGUAUUCCCUUUCCACCAGAGUACUGAUUAUUAAAUAUUUACCUACAUUCCUGGUUAUUUCCUUUCCUAGAUUUUCAUCCCCCACUUUAGCACAGUUCCUGGGACUUAAUAGUCACAUUAUGAGUGUUUGUUGAAUGAAUGAGGCACAGAGGAUAAGUGAUUUGCCAAGAGUUACCUUGUACUAGAAUAGGAAUAAAAUUUGGGGCACUCUGACCAAAUUGUACCUCAUUUACAAGAUGCAAGACUGAAAGUUAUAAUUUCCAGGUCUCCAUGGACACUAAAGAGAACACUAUUUUUGUGGUGUGAAGUUUGUGAAGGGUCGGGUUUGAGAUCUGAAAUCUUGCUGAAUGCAAGGAUAGUUGAAGUCUUUAAUCUCCUAACAGAGUGAAGUUAUUGACCUGCAUCUCUAAGCCUGGAGAUGAGACUACUUUCAGUGGUGGUGUCCAAGAUCUUAGUGUCAAAGAAGGCUUGAUCUCAGUCACAAGCAGACCUUUCAAACAAUGCAGAUUCCUGUCCUUCCUCUUCAGUUGUUAUUCCCAAGAGGGUCUCUCUUUUAAGUCUGGGUCUUAAAAAGCCUCCUGACAGAUUAUGGUCAAUGUAAUUUUUGUGUCGGUGAAGAAUAAGUUACCAUUUGGGUUUUUUAUAAAGAGCUUUAUCGUUGUGACCUGAAAUGUUUUCAUAUGUAUUAUCUUAUUUGAGCCUUCAAACAAUUCUCUGAAUUAGAAUGGGUAGUAUUAUUCUUGUUUUAUAGAGAAGGAAACUGAGGCUUACAUUAAAUUACUCAUUUUUUAAUAAUCCUUAUCUUCUGUCUUACAAUCAAUACUGUAUAUUGGUUUCAAGACAGAAAAGUGGUAAGAGCUAGGCAGUGGGGAUUAAGUAAUUUGCCCUGGAUCACAUAGCUAGAAAGUAUCUGAAGUCAGAUUUGAACCCAGGACUUCCCUUCUCUAGGCUUGGCUCUCAAUCUACUGAGUCAUCUUCUGCCCCCCAGUAAAUGACUUUUUAAAGGUCAGAUUGGUUAUAAGAAGGACCCCUUGAAGGCAAGCCUUCUGACUACAACUCCAGGGUUCUUUCCUCUAUACUGAGAGAGUAUUUUAUUUUCCCUAUAUGAAUGUUUCCAUGGAUACCAAACACCAAGUUUUCCAAGACUAGGAAUAUAGAAAAAUGCAUUUAGCUGGCUUGUGGAACAGCUUCAUUAAUGACACCUUGUGACCUGUACUGAGAAAUAAAUAGAGAAUGGCAUCAUUAGAACAAGACCUGGGUUAUUAUUUUUCCCCCUUAAAUGUAGCUACUUUAUUAGCAGCAAAGGCAUGUUCCUGGCAACGGGGUUUGGUUGGGCUGGAAGUAUGUAAAGAAUGAAUGAUAGAAGGACUCCCCUCAGCCAGCUGCUAAAUGGUGAGCAGAUGUGAGGCAAGCUCAGAUUAGGUUGAAGAGUGAACAUGUCUUAAUCAAGCAUAUGCUUCUCAGCCUCAACUGAUGCAACAUGGAUAUGGCCACUAGGAAGCCAAGAUGCUGAAAGACAACCAACCUUCUAUGUAGUAAUCAGGAACAAGAUCUGUUCUUCUGGGGGCAAGGUAUCUGACAGACUGUUGGUCUGGCAUUUGAAGCCCUCCCCAAGCCAGCUCUUACCCCUCUUUCCAUUCUUGUUCCACAAUAGUCUCUCAAAACCCUUUCUGUUCCAUUCAUAUUGGCUUACUGUACUUACUACUGCCCAUACACAACAUUCCACCUCCCACCCAAGUGUCUUUGGGCAGAUGGGUUCUCAUGAUUGUAAUAUACUUCUUGCUCAUUUCUGUCUUAGAUUUCUUCAGAGUUCAGUUCAGAUACCACUCCUCACGGCAUCACCACCCCCUCCCCAAACUGUUAUUGUUCUAUUUUUUUUAAAACCAGACAGAUGUCCUAGGGAAUUCCUAGUAAGGAAAUUCUCACUACCAGUGAAGAUCAGCACCUGCCAUGUGCUCAAUGCUCCAGACAAUGAUGCCCUCAUACUAGUGGAAGCACACUAAGGUCUCUCUCAUCUGCCAUCUUUUUUUUUUUUAAUACUGAGAAAAUAUAUCUUUUUUUCCAGUCUCAAGACCUUUCUAGAUUUACCUGAAUGAAGAAAAUUUUAUCAGUACUUAAUUAAGUUUCUAAGAAUAUGAUACUGUGAACUAAAUCCUCCCACCUUCCUCCUUGCCAAGAACCUAAACACUUUCUCAGAGUUUGUUGUUUAGUCAUUUUAGUUGUGUCUGACUCUUCAUGACUCCACUUGGGUUUGUUUUUUUUUUUUGUUUUUUUUUUUUUUUGGCAAAGAUACUAGAGUAGUUUGCCAUUUCCUUCUCUAGCUCAUUUUACAGAUGAGGAAAUUGAGGCAUAGUUAAGUAUUAAGUCACUUGACCAGGGUCACAAGCUGGUAAGUGGCUGAGGCUAAAUAUGAACUUAGGAAGAUGAAUCUUCUUUACUCCCCGCUCAUCAGUCUAUCCACUUUACCAACUAGAUGUAGCAAGUUUAGAAAGUACAAAGUUAAAAAAAUCUAUGCCUAAAAGACAGUGAUUUUCCUGUGUGGUAUAGAAAGAUGUUGGUUGGUACAUUAUCUUUAAACAAAAGGUAGCAACAUGGGCAUCUAAGUCAACAGUUAAAUGUGGCUGCCAGAAAAUCUAAAGGCAGCUUUGGAUAGAUUAGUAAAAUAUAAUGUCCAGAAUAAGAAAUGAAAGGGUGCUUCCAUAUUGUUAUCUUUUAAAAUUAAAAACCCUUACCUUCUAUCUUACCAAUACUCUAUAUUGGUUCCAAGAGAGAAGAGCAGUAAGGACUAGGCAAAAGGAGUUAAGUGACUUGCCCAGAGUCAUGCAGCUAGCAAGUGCCUGAGGUUAGAUUUGAACCCACUUACUACAUAGCAAGGCAUCAUAUAGGUCUAGAAUUUUUUGUUCUUCUGAAGUAUUUUCAGAAUGUAUGACAUAGACACAAAUGUAAUUAUUUUUCCUGCUAGUAUGCAAAUGGACCAAGAAAAUGACGCAAGAUAGGGAGAAAUUUCCUCAAUGAUGAUCAUAGACAGGCAGAAGUGCGCUGGCUAGUUCUCUUAAAUGUCUCAAGGACCCAUUCUUCAAAUUACAAGAAUAAUUUGGAUUCUUUUCCUUUAUAUUUUAUUACUUUUCUUCGAAAAAUCUUGCCACAGCCAUACCUCCCCACACUUUUCUCUUAGGGUUGGGAUUUUAUUUCAGCUCUGGGGAACCACGAUUAAAAAAUCUAUUGGUGUGAACAUCAGAGGGGCCUUCUUAUCAAGGUAUGUAUUUCAAAACUCUGGUAACACAAACCCACAUCAUAGAUAUUUUCAAGAGAAUAAACCCCUAAUAACUUUCUCAAUCCAAUUUUCUUGAACAAACUUCUAAUUUGUAGCUUUGUCACUGCCCUUUCAAAGCCCCAAAGCACUAACAAAUGCUUUCAAUGGUCCAUUUUAACACUAUAUGGAAAAAAAAAAUUGCUUCAGCUUUAUUUUCAAUUCAAGGUUUAUUUCUAAGAAUCCUGUCAUUUCCUGUGGACAACUGAGCUUUUCUGCUCUCUCCCCAUGUAUCUUCUAUCUACUCUAUCUCUGUAGACUUAAAAAAAAGUCCAAUAUCCAAAACACAGUUAUCUCAUGCUGAAUUCUAUUCUGUUUUAAUAGUAGAAGGACAUUUCUGGAUAUAUUGAAUAACCUAAUUCCUGACAAACUGAGAAAGUGUUCAAGGGGAUGAGGAGGCCAACAAACGCUUUAUAAGUAACUAACGUGGUGCCUACCUACAAACAAUCUGCAGUCUAGGUACGGGAUACAAAAGUCGACCAUCAGAGAGAAACUUCAGGAAAAGAAGUUUGUUAACUCCCUGAAUCAAGAAAGUGAACUCCUUUAAAGAAGGCACCAUAAAGAAGUCUGUGGACACCAGAAGAUUCAGAAUGAACUUUGGGAUGUAAUGAAUUGAACUGAGGGGGGUUGAACACAUUUAUUUUGAAUGUAAACUCUUAUGCCAAAGGGAAUUGCCUCCUAAUAGGCUUUUUGUCAAUGUGCCUACUAAUCAUUGGUUUUGCUCUCUUCCUCUUUUAUUUCCCUCUUAUUUCAAACUGUUGUAAUUUCACCUUAGAAAGUGAAGUAUUAUAUGCACCUUUAGCUAGAAGAUCUUUAGAGGUAUAAGCUGGAUAUUUGAGAUGAUUCAUUGGGGAGACUAGGCAUAUAAAUCUGGGAGAUUUCAACAGGCUCAUCUCCCAAUAGAAUCACAGGGGGGAUGGUGUAUAUGGAUUCUGCUCCCCUCCCCCCAGCUCAUCCCCACCUUCCUGCAUGGCUGGAUGUCACAUGAAUGCUCCUAACAGAGGUCAUAGGUGAAGAGUCCUAGGAACAUGACCCGGAACUAAAGGUUAUUGGUCCAGGUUCAAGAGAAAGGAUAAAGGUGUGGGACAAGACAUGCCAGCUCUCUUUAUUUCCUUGGAGGUGGUGGGGAAGGACCAUGGCUGAACAAGGUAGCCAUGUGGAGAAACACAUGGUCAGAGUUAUAUUAGAUUAGGCUUAAAUCUCUGUAUAUCUGCUUUCUCUGUUUCAAGUGAUAAUUAAUAAACUCUAUGGAAAA